UUUUAUUCGAGAGUUUGAUCCUGGCUCAGGAUGAACGCUGGCGGCGUGCUUAACACAUGCAAGUCGAACGGGGAUAUGAUGUGUGAAGGAAUUAGCUUGCUAAGGACGGAACUUUUCAUAACCUAGUGGCGGACGGGUGAGUAACGCGUGGGUAACCUGCCAUAUACAGGGGGAUAACACUUAGAAAUAGGUGCUAAUACCGCAUAAGCGCACAGUGCCGCAUGGUGCAGUGUGAAAAACUCCGGUGG
rnacentral:rRNA from 1 species